AUGGGAUUUUUGCUCCUUGUUAUUUUCGCUGUAGCCGCUUUGGAAGGCGUCCGGUCCCAGGUGCAGCUGGUGGAGUCCGGAGGGGAUGUGAAAAAGCCCGGAGACUCUCUCCGCCUCUCCUGCAAAGCCUCCGGGUUCGACUUCAGCGGCUCCAGGAUGGACUGGGUCCGGCAGGCUCCUGGCAAGGGGCUAGAAUGGGUCGCUUUUGUAAGGUACGAUGGAGGUAAUAUUCAGUACCGUGAUUCCGUCAAAGGCCGAUUCACCAUCUCCCGGGAUAAUCCCAAGAGUGAGCUGUAUCUGCAAAUGACCGGCCUGAAGCCCGAGGACACCGCCCGCUAUUACUGUGCGAGACGCCAGAAACAGACACACACUGAGGGAAAACCUAUCCGAGCCCGGCCUAAAACUAACGGUGCAGAGAACCAGCCUUCCCGUGUGAGCCGCAGAGAGCAGCAGCUGCGCGAGAAAAUCCGCGGCGUUGCCUGA